UAGGAGAAAAACUGUGGAUCCCGCAUCGUGCAGUCUUGGAUCCAACCUCUUCAUACCUUGGUUUCCUCAACUAUAAAUCGGGCUCCUUGUAACCUGCUGCAUAGAGCUUUUCUGAGGAUUGAGCCGCUUAAUGCAGGAACAGAUGCUGUUUGUGCCCCACCCUGGUUCCUGCUGCAGUCACCUCUGCAAGCAAAGAGGCAGAUUACUGAGAACACCUUCAACUCUCUGCCUGAGGACUUUUUUUUAAUGGCUGUGGGAAUAUUCUAGAACAUAAAAGGGCAAGCACAAAGGACCCUGGACAAAGGAUCAACAACUGGGAAGCAGCCCUGAAGCAGUGGAUAGACACCCCCACUCCCUCUCCCUCAGGGUGAUAAUCCGUGGUGUGUUACCCUGUGGCUCCACGGGUUCCCAGCAAGUUUGAGCUCCAGUCGCCCAUGAUGUGACCAGCCUUGUGAUGCCCCUGUGCUCACUCCCUUCCCUCCUGUCUCAUUCCACUCCCCGGUCAAUGUUCCUGGGGUCACCAUCCAAAUAAACCACUUACAGAAUCCUA